UUUUGGGUCGGCUAACCGAAUACACACCCCUAUAAUUAACAUGCUUGAUGAGGAUAUGUGUUUAGGCAAUUGGCCAAAUUGGUUUGAUCAUGUUUAGUUAGCUUACCUUAAAUGUGAAAUAAAUGGUAAGUUAAUUUCCUGUUAUACGAACUAAGUAUUAAAUGCUUACUUUGUUUUCUUUCCUCUGUUUUAUAGUAACCUGGAAGCUCGUUAAGGUUAGAAGUUGGUCGGAGCCACAUCACACUAUCAAUCGCCCUUUUUCGGUAUAUUUAUUAAAUCAACUUUGAUAUAAUGACAUGUAUAGGUUAAUUUGGCCAAUGAUGGCAUGUAAAUGUUUUGUUGUGAUUAGCCAUUUGA
rnacentral:lncRNA from 1 species